UAUCAGCAGGGAAGAAAAUGACGGUACCUGACUAAGAAGCCCUGAUACUCGACGUGCCAGCAGCCGCGGUAAUACGUAGGGGGCAAGCGUUAUCCGGAUUUACUGGGUGUAAAGGGAGCGUAGACGGUGUUGCAAGUCUGAUGUGAAAGGCGGGGGCUCAACCCCUGGACUGCAUUGGAAACUGUGAUACUCGAGUGCCGGAGAGGUAAGCGGAAUUCCUAGUGUAGCGGUGAAAUGCGUAGAUAUUAGGAGGAACACCAGUGGCGAAGGCGGCUUACUGGACGGUAACUGACGUUGAGGCUCGAAAGCGUGGGGAGCA
rnacentral:rRNA from 1 species